GCUGAGGCACGAAAGCGUGGGGAGCAAACAGGAUUAGAUACCCUGGUAGUCCACGCCGUAAACGAUGAGUACUAAGUGUUGGGUUAAACCAGUGCUGAAGUUAACACAUUAAGUACUCCGCCUGAGUAGUACGUACGCAAGUAUGAAACUUAAAGGAAUUGACGGGACUCCGCACAAGCGGUGGAUCAUGUUGUUUAAUUCGAAGAUACACGAAAAACCUUACCAGGUCUUGACAUACUCUGCAAAGCUAUAGAAAUAUAGUGGAGGUUAUCAGGGAUACAGGUGGUGCAUGGUUGUCGUCAGCUCGUGUCGUGAGAUGUUGGGUUAAGUCCCGCAACGAGCGCAACCCUUAUCACUAGUUACCAUCAUUUAGUUGGGCACUUUAGUGAGACUGCCAAUGAUAAAUUGGAGGAAGGUGGGGAUUACGUCAAAUCAUCAUGCCCCUUAUGACCUGGGCUACAAACGUGAUACAAUGGCUGUUACAAA
rnacentral:rRNA from 1 species